rnacentral:lncRNA from 1 species
GUUCUUCUGUAUACAAGGAGAAAGUAUUCUCUCUCAAACAGUAAACUCCCUUUUAUCACAGAGCAGGCUCCAGGCUCAAAGCCCUAGAAAUUCUGUGUGCUAUUUCAUAGGGAGAAAGCACAUCAUCUUCAUCAACUUUUCAAAAGGAUUUGUGUGUCCCCAGAAAGUUAAGAACCACUGUCAUCAUUAUUUCCAAGGCUAUCCUAUGCCUUGGAUUUUAAGGUCCGUUGGGGCAAAAGUCCUGUUUUCUUUUAUCUCUCACUGUGCCUAGCCUAGUUCUCUAUUCCCUCAGGCACUCAUAGGAAUUGGUUGCCCAAAUUGAAUGUGUGAAGCAGACAAUAGAGACUACAAGGGCCAGGUGCUAGUGGCUUGGGAGACGCAUCACCUUGGUAAAGCCUGCAGAGACACAGGUAUUUUACAAGCCAACUCCCUGG